CAAUGCCGCGUGUGUGAAGAAGGCCUUCGGGUUGUAAAGCACUUUCGGUGGGGACAAACAAGGCGGAGCUAACAUCUCCGUCCCUGAUGGUACCCAAAGAAGAAGCACCGGCUAACUCUGUGCCAGCAGCCGCGGUAAUACAGAGGGUGCAAGCGUUAAUCGGAAUUACUGGGCGUAAAGCGUGCGUAGGUGGUUUGUUAAGUCAGGUGUGAAAUCCUCGGGCUCAACCCGGGAACUGCGCUUGAUACUGACAGACUCGAGUGUGGUAGAGGAUAGUGGAAUUCCCGGUGUAGCGGUGAAAUGCGUAGAUAUCGGGAGGAACAUCAGUGGCGAAGGCGGCUAUCUGGACCAACACUGACACUGAGGUACGAAAGCGUGGGUAGCAAACAGGAUUAGAUACCCUGGUAGUCCACGCCCUAAACGAUGGGUACUAGACGUCGGGAAGCUUGUCUUCUUGGUGUCGCAGCUAACGCAAUAAGUACCCCGCCUGGGGAGUACGGUCGCAAGAUUA
rnacentral:rRNA from 1 species